rnacentral:tRNA from 1 species
GCCCAUGUUGCUCAGUGGUUAGAUUGUCGGCCUGAGAACCAAAGGGUCAAGGGUUCGAUUCCCAGUCAUGGGCA